ensembl:misc_RNA Metazoa_SRP Metazoan signal recognition particle RNA
GCUGGGCGUGGUGGCGGGCACCUGUAAUCCCAGCUACUCAGGAGGCUGAGGCAGGAGAAUUGCUUGAACCCAGGAGGCAGAGGUUGCAGUGAGCUAAGAUUGCACCAACUGCAAUCCAUCCUGGGUGACAGAGCAAGACUCUGUCUCAA